rnacentral:rRNA from 1 species
AACGGCCAUACCAUGCUGAAUAUACCGGUUCUCGUUCGAUCAUCGAAGUCAAGCAUCAUUGGGCGCGGUCAGUACUUGGGUGGGUGACCACCUGGGAACAUCGCGUGCCGUU